AGGGCACCACCAGGAGUGGAGCCUGCGGCUUAAUUUGACUCAACACGGGAAAACUCACCCGGCCCGGACACUGGAAGGAUUGACAGAUUGAGAGCUCUUUCUUGAUUCAGUGGGUGGUGGUGCAUGGCCGUUCUUAGUUGGUGGAGCGAUUUGUCUGGUUAAUUCCGAUAACGAACGAGACUCUAGCCUACUAAAUAGAUCGUCGGCUUACAAACGCCGAUGAGACUUCUUAGAGGGACAGGCGGCGAUUCAGCCGCACGAAACAGAGCAAUAACAGGUCUGUGAUGCCCUUAGAUGUCCGGGGCCGCACGCGCGCUACACUGAAGUGAUCAGCGUGCAUUUUCAGUCUACUCUGCCAAGAGUGGGAAACCCAAUGAACCUUCUUCGUGAUUGGGAUAGGGGAUUGUAAUUAUUCCCCUUGAACGAGGAAUUCCCAGUAAGCGCGAGUCAUAAGCUCACGUUGAUUACGUCCCUGCCCUUUGUACACACCGCCCGUCGCUACUACCGAUUGAAUGUUUU
rnacentral:rRNA from 1 species